UCUUGCCUCGUCAAGCAUGAGGAGCAGCCACUUUGGCCCAACCGUCACCUACAGCACUCGCACCUUAGAGGUGGAGCAACAGAGGGAGCCCUGUGAGAGAAAACCCUUGACCUCUCUUCUCUUUUGUUAUGUCAUUUUCAUGACAAUUUAUUUAAAUUGACCCGCCGUGCCCUGCUCCAGUAAGGAGGGAUCGAGCCUGUCCAAUAUGGUGAAACCCUGUCUCUACUAAAAAAUAUAAAAAAUUAGCCAAGUGUGGUGGCCUGUGCCUGUUGUCCCAGCUACUCAGGAGGCUGAGGCAGGAGAAUCGCUUGAACCUGAGAGGUGGAGGUUGCAGUGAGCCGAGAUCGCACUACUGCACUCCAGCCUGGGCA
rnacentral:lncRNA from 1 species